rnacentral:rRNA from 1 species
AGUGAACGCUGGCGGCAGGCCUAACACAUGCAAGUCGAACGGCAGCACAGUAAGAGCUUGCUCUUACGGGUGGCGAGUGGCGGACGGGUGAGGAAUACAUCGGAAUCUACUUUUUCGUGGGGGAUAACGUAGGGAAACUUACGCUAAUACCGCAUACAACCUACGGGUGAAAGCAGGGGAUCUUCGGACCUUGCGCGAUUGAAUGAGCCGAUGUCGGAUUAGCUAGUUGGCGGGGUAAAGGCCCACCAAGGCGACGAUCCGUAGCUGGUCUGAGAGGAUGAUCAGCCACACUGGAACUGAGACACGGUCCAGACUCCUACGGGAGGCAGCAGUGGGGAAUAUUGGACAAUGGGCGCAAGCCUGAUCCAGCCAUACCGCGUGGGUGAAGAAGGCCUUCGGGUUGUAAAGCCCUUUUGUUGGGAAAGAAAAGCAGCAGGUUAAUACCCCGCUGUUCUGACGGUACCCAAAGAAUAAGCACCGGCUAACUUCGUG